rnacentral:lncRNA from 1 species
AUUUUGUUUAUGGCCAGUUUUGGGGCCAGUUUAUGGCCAGAUUUUGGGGGGCCUGUUCCCAACAGUGACAGAGUGGGAGAAUGUGAUUAGUGAGUAGUUCUUUCCACCAACUUGAAGAGUCCCAUCAAUGUCCUGCUCUGAGGGAUGGAGGAAGGUGGGAAGAGUCUGUGAAAAAAGAACAGCAGGAAUUCAGGGUGAAGAAGAUGUGGACUGUGUCUCCACCAAGAAAAUCUCUGGGGAUAAUGCUUCAUUUACAAGAGUGUCCCCGCAAAAGACAACAUAAUGUAAUCACAUAUUACCAACAAUUCCAUGACAACGAUGCAGUGGUUUUAAAAUGACUUCCAAAUAAAGGCUUAAUUAUAGCAAGCUAUAAAAAAAUUAAACAAGAUACAAUAAUGGCACUAAAAUUAAAUUAAGGAAAAAUAGCACAGUACAUAGAGAUGUGAAUAGAAAUGAA